UACGAAGGGGGCUAGCGUUGUUCGGAAUCACUGGGCGUAAAGGGCGCGUAGGCGGCCGAUCAAGUCGGGGGUGAAAGCCUGUGGCUCAACCACAGAAUUGCCUUCGAUACUGUUUGGCUUGAGACCGGAAGAGGUUAGUGGAACUGCGAGUGUAGAGGUGAAAUUCGUAGAUAUUCGCAAGAACACCAGUGGCGAAGGCGGCUCACUGGCCCGGUACUGACGCUGAGGUGCGAAAGCUAGGGGAGCAAACAGG
rnacentral:rRNA from 1 species